AUGCAUCGAAUGCAUCGGGUUCUCGGCGUUGCAGCGGAGUCUCUGACAGCCGACCGAUGUGCGAGCUCGCAGGCAGCCUCCUCGGCCAGCUACAGCCCAGGUGGCCUGCCCGAAGGACGGCGGGUGAAAGUUGGAGCAGUGAGAUCAGCGGAACUCGGACUCACAAGUUCCCCCUGGAGCCCUGAGGAAUGGAAGGUGUUCACUCUAAAUUGUCUCCUUUGGAACAAAGGGAUGUGUUUCUUUGGAAAGGUGUCUCCUUUGGAAAACUAGACCAUGCUAACGCCAGCCAGCCUGGGGCAUACCAACAGUGAGACUUCUCAGAGACACCAGAGGAUUCCAUGCUGUGUGUCGGAAUGUGAUACUCUCAGCACGUGGGUGGCUCAGUCGGUGAAGCGUCUGCCUCCAGCUCAGGUCAUGAUCCCGGGGUCCUGGGAUGGAGCCCCGCAUCGGGCUCCCUGCUCAGCGGGGAGCCUGCUUCUCCCUCUCCCUCUCCCCCCACUUAUCUGCUUCUUCUUCUCUCUCUCUCCUUCAAAUAAAUAAAAUCUUUUUUUAAAAAAUGCUCGGGGGGCCCCUCAACAAAUGUCCAUUGUCAGUGAACUCUCAGAAAAGAGGUUGACAUGGACGACCCAAGGUUGAGGAAGAAAACCAGAAAAGAACAGUGGUUCAGAAGCCAGGGAGGAAAGAAUUUGGGGGAGUAGGGUAGAGUGCUGACCAAGUCCUGCUAAAAUCUCGUGGCGCAACAGACAACUAAACAAGCAUGUAGGUAAGCACAGUCAAGAAAU
rnacentral:lncRNA from 1 species